UACGGAGGGUGCAAGCGUUAAUCGGAAUUACUGGGCGUAAAGGGUGCGUAGGUGGUUUGUUAAGUUAUCUGUGAAAUCCCUGGGCUCAACCUGGGCAGGUCAGAUAAUACUGAUAGACUCGAGUAUAGGAGAGGGUAGUGGAAUUUCCGGUGUAGCGGUGAAAUGCGUAGAGAUCGGAAGGAACACCAGUGGCGAAGGCGGCUACCUGGCCUAAUACUGACACUGAGGCACGAAAGCGUGGGGAGCAAACAGGAUUAGAUACCCUGGUAGUCCACGCUGUAAACGAUGUCAACUAGCUGUUGGAUACGUAAAUGUAUUUAGUGGCGCAGCAAACGCGAUAAGUUGACCGCCUGGGGAGUACGGUCGCAAGAUUAAA
rnacentral:rRNA from 1 species